AUUGAACGCUGGCGGCAGGCCUAACACAUGCAAGUCGAACGAGUGGCGGACGGGUGAGUAAUGUCUGGGAAACUGCCUGAUGGAGGGGGAUAACUACUGGAAACGGUAGCUAAUACCGCAUACCAUCAGAUGUGCCCAGAUGGGAUUAGCUUGUUGGUGGGGUAACGGCUCACAAAGGCGACGAUCACUAGCUGGUCUGAGAGGAGGACCCGCCACACUGGAACUGAGACACGGUCCAGACUCCUACGGGAGGCAGCAGUGGGGAAUAUUGCCCAAGGGGCGCAAGCCUGAUGCAGCCAUGCCGCGUGUAUGAAGAAGGCCUUCGGGUUGUAAAGGACUUUCAGCGGGGAGGCGUUACCCGCAGAAGAAGCACCGGCUAACUCCGUGCCAGCAGCCGCGGUAAUUC
rnacentral:rRNA from 1 species